rnacentral:rRNA from 1 species
GACGAACGCUGGCGGCGUGGAUUAGGCAUGCAAGUCGGACGGUAGGGCUUUAUCGUAAGAUAGAGUUUGAGAGUGGCGAACGGGUGAGUAACACGUAGGAAUCUACCCUUAAGACGGGGACAACCCAGGGAAACUUGGGCUAAUACCGGAUGAGAGUGCGAGAGAUUGCAUUUAAAAGGAUGGCGAAAGUUGUCGCUUAGGGAUGAGCCUGCGGUCUAUUAGUUAGUUGGUGAGGUAAGAGCUCACCAAGGCGAUGAUAGAUAGGCGGCCUUAACGGGUGGUCGCCCACACUGGGAUUGAGAUACGGCCCAGACUCCUACGGGAGGCAGCAGUCGAGAAUAGUCUACAAUGGCCGGAAGGCUGAUAGUGCGACGCCGCGUGAGCGAAGAAGGCCUUCGGGUUGUAAGCUCUGUCUGGAGGGACGGAACGAAAAUAGACGGUACCGUCCGGACGGAAGGCCGACGGCCUAACUACGUCGCCAGCAGCCGCGGUAAGCAUACUCGUA